GAUGAACGCUGGCGGCGUGCCUAAUACAUGCAAGUCGAGCGAACAGACGAGGAGCUUGCUCCUCUGACGUUAGCGGCGGACGGGUGAGUAACACGUGGAUAACCUACCUAUAAGGCUGGGAUAACUUCGGGAAACCGGAGCUAAUACCGGAUAAUAUAUUGAACCGCAUGGUUCAAUAGUGAAAGACGGUUUUGCUGUCCCUUAUAGAUGGAUCCGCGCCGCAUUAGCUAGUUGGUAAGGUAACGGCUUACCAAGGCAACGAUGCGUAGCCGACCUGAGAGGGUGAUCGGCCACACUGGAACUGAGACACGGUCCAGACUCCUACGGGAGGCAGCAGUAGGGAAUCUUCCGCAAUGGGCGAAAGCCUGACGGAGCAACGCCGCGUGAGUGAUGAAGGUCUUCGGAUCGUAAAACUCUGUUAUUAGGGAAGAACAAAUGUGUAAGUAACUAUGCACGUCUUGACGGUACCUAAUUAGAAAGCCACGGCUAACUACGUG
rnacentral:rRNA from 1 species